GCUUUUUGUGUUUCAUUAGCAAAAGUGGUAUGAAUAACGCUGAUGAGCAGCGUCACCAUGGACUUUGGUGAAUGGUCCUGAUGCUCAGCAGCCUCCAGGGUGGAGAGCUGGGAAGAAAUGGGAAUGUCUUGAUGCUUGGUUUUCCCCAGGUCUCCAGCAUGCUGCCUCCAUCACAGCCAGUGGUGAUUGAAAUGCAAGAGACGCAACCACCGCUGGUGUCAAUAACCCCGGAGAAAAGCACCGUGAACCUCUUCAGCACUGCUGAGUUCUGGGCUUCCAGUCCUGGCUCUGCUCCUGGAUCCCUCUUUGUCCUGGAUGUGGUGAGCUGAAGCCUUUGGCAGUGUUGGUGGGAUGUGGUCACUACUGCAGAGGGGCAGCAGGAGGUGUGGCUGAGGGGCUGGAGCUGAUGCUGGGGACCUGCUUGUACACACACAUAUCACACAGGGGACCCGCUCCCCUUUUCUCCCUGCAGCACUCUGAGCUGGGUGUGCGGUUUGCUGUCGCAGAAGAGAGGCUGCAGUUCUCCCUGACACUGCACAGCCUGUCCCAUGUGGCCAUGGUGAACUCCUCCAUCGGUGCAUUCAGUGUGAGUCCUGCAGGGUGUGGGUACGGCUCUGCUUUGUGGUCUGGGUUUGAGCACAAUGUCUGCAUGGGGCCGGGUGGUGAGGAGGAGGCACUGGGUACCCACAGUGCUGCAGGUGUGGGGAAGAAGAGCCUUUCUGGCAGCUUGCAAUGAAAUUUAGAAAAUCUCAAAUGUUCCCAUUCAUCUCAGGGUAGCAGGGGGGGGCUGUGCAAUUUUCCUGUGAUUUGAGGCCUCACCAGGGGAAUUAAUGGAAGGGAGCCUGACAGGUGAGGCUGCUGGCAUUGGGAAAGAUGGGCUACGUCCAUCACCACGCUGUGUUCCAGGUGCUGCCGCUGAGGGGAGUCCUGGCAGACAUUAUUCAUGUGGCUUACGUGCCAUCCAUCAACAGUAAGCAUGCUACAGCUUCAUCGGAGGGCUCGUGUUGUGCACAGGGAAAAUGGUCCUCAUUUCUUUGCCCAUAGCCUGUAGUUAUCUGCUUUUGGAAGUGGUAUUGGCUGGUUGGCCUUGCCCGGGGUGGGGGCAGAGAGUGAUGGGCACUGGAAAGCUGCUGGUGAAGCAGUUAUCCCAUGGUAAAACAUGAUUAAAGCAGCCUGCCAUAGAGCAUCCCCUCAUCUGCUGAAUGUCCUAUGGAAAGUAUGCCAAGGGACAGGAUCUCAUUUGUGCUGCUGUACCCAACCCAGCAUGUCAGCACUGCCUGCUGUCCCCCGGGUCUGGUGCCCACGUUCUGCCCCUGACAACCCCCCCACCACUUGCAGGAGAACUGCGAGGAGGGGUCCCACUGCCCCCACUGCUGGGCACCCCAUACCAGCGUGUGGAGCUCAGGCAGAUACAGGUAGGCAUGGCGUGGGGAUCUGGGCACCCCAGGUGGCUGAGCCCUCAUUCUCCA
rnacentral:lncRNA from 1 species